AUCCCAUAAUGAGUAUAUCUCCUUUGAAGACCCUUGUAUCUCUCCCAUGUUUCAUAAAGACUUUCAUCAUCCUUUGGUAUAAAAGAAGUCAAUUCAUUCUUACU